CCUACGGUAGGCAGCAGUGAGGCAUAUUGGUCAAUGGGCGGAAGCCUGAACCAGCCACGUCGCGUGAGGGAUUAAGGCCCUGCGGGUCGUAAACCUCUUUUGCCGGGGAGCGGUGGUCCGGGCGAGUCCGGGCCGGGGGAGUACCCGGUGAAAAAGCAUCGGCUGACUCCGUGCCAGCAGCCGCGGUAAUGCGGAGGAUGCGAGCGUUAUACGGAGUUAUUGGGUUUAAGGGGUGCGUAGGCGGGCAUUUAAGCCGGCGGUAAAACUUCGGGGCUCAACCCCGGCCUGCCGUCGGAACUGGGUGCCUUGAGUGGGCGAGAAGUAUGCGGAAGGCGUGGUGUAGCGGUGAAAUGCAUAGAUAUCACGCAGAACCCCGAUUGCGAAGGCAGCAUACCGGCGCCCGACUGACGCUGAGGCACGAAAGUGCGGGUAUCGAACAGGAUUAGAUACCCUAGUAGUG
rnacentral:rRNA from 1 species